rnacentral:rRNA from 1 species
CCUACGGGAGGCAGCAGUGAGGAAUAUUGGUCAAUGGGCGGGAGCCUGAACCAGCCAAGUCGCGUGAGGGAAGACGGUCCUAUGGAUUGUAAACCUCUUUAGGCGGGGAGCAAUGCCGGGCACGCGUGCCCGGAGGGAGAGUACCCGCAGAAUAAGCAUCGGCUAACUCCGUGCCAGCAGCCGCGGUAAUACGGGGGAUUCGAGCGUUAUCCGGUUUUAUGGGGUUUAAAGGGUGCGUAGGCGGAUUUUUAAGUCAGCGGUAAAAUGUCCGGGCUCAACCCGGGCCGGCCGUUGAAACGGGGGAUCUUGAGUGGGCGAGAAGUAUGCGGAAUGCGUGGUGUAGCGGUGAAAUGCAGAGAUAUCACGCAGAACUCCGAUUGCGAAGGCAGCAUACCGGCGCCCGACUGACGCUGAGGCACGAAAGCGUGGGGAUCGAACAGGAUUAGAGACCCGAGUAGUC